rnacentral:rRNA from 1 species
ACGCGUGGAACCUUACCAGGUCUUGACAUCCCAUUGACCGCUAUGGAGACAUAGCUUUCCCUUCGGGGACAGUGGUGACAGGUGGUGCAUGGUUGUCGUCAGCUCGUGUCGUGAGAUGUUGGGUUAAGUCCCGCAACGAGCGCAACCCUUGAUCUUAGUUGCCAGCAUUUAGUUGGGCACUCUAAGGAGACUGCCGGUGACAAACCGGAGGAAGGUGGGGAUGACGUCAAAUCAUCAUGCCCCUUAUGACCUGGGCUACACACGUGCUACAAUGGAUAGAACAAAGGGCAGCGAAGCCGCGAGGUCAAGCAAAUCCCAUAAAUCUAUUCUCAGUUCGGAUUGUAGGCUGCAACUCGCCUACAUGAAGCCGGAAUCGCUAGUAAUCGCGGAUCAGCAUGCCGCGGUGAAUACGUUCCCGGGCCUUGCACUCACCGCCCGU